GGUGACUGGGUUCAAAGACAGCACUGCAAAUGCUUCUCAGCUUCCAGCAGCUGAGGUCUGUAAAUACAAAUUCCAUUUUCUGGACACAGACUGCUUUGAGCUUUUCCUCCAGCACUGCCAUCUCAUCUCAUUAUUCUGUCCUGGAGCCUCCUUGCUCUCUGGGGGAGAGCUGCAAACUUCCCCUCCUCAGACCUUCCAGAGGAGGCUCAGAGGUCUCUUCUUGUGCCCUAAAUCUCUGCUCAUCCCAAAGCAAUAGGAUUAGGUUGUAGCUGUUGGCAUGGCAUUGGCUUUCACUGUGGACAGAGAGAAUUUCAGUUUACUGGGAUGGAAAUGACUGUGGAAGUUCCCUGCUUUUAUGCUGGGAACUGAUCCAAAGCUCACUGAAUCACAAAGAAAGAAUCCCAUCCAUGUCAGUGGAGUUUGCAUCAAUCCUGAAAUGUCAACAGAUGACCACUAAGUUACAGGGCUGCAAAAAUUCUAGCCUACAUCCAUCCUGGUCAUGGAAGGAGACAACUGAUGGUUGCUCCAGGGCUCCCGGAUGACAGCUGCCUUGACAAUGGCUAGAUGAGCAAGCAAGGAUACCAGAAGUGAAGCUGUGUGCAUCUCUUGCCUCUGUAAGGGAAAAAGGAACUCUUGGUCACAUCCCAACCAUGGAAAUAUCUCAAUAUUUUCAGUGCAUGAGAGAUAGAUACAAUAACAAAUAGCACAGUGAUUUUUACACCUAUGCUACAUAAUCAUUUAGCCACUUCUUCAGUUGCACAACAGAACUUUGCACUCUUUUGGAGUUUCAUUCUGCAGAGUGAAGAACAAGAGCAGUAGCUUUCAAUUAUUUUACAGGCACUGCAAUGUGGCAGCAAUGGAUUGCAGACAAUCAUGAGCUGAGUUUGAAACAGGCAGCUCUAGCACUUACAACAGGAUAAAGUGGCACAGGGAGCUCAGCACUUUAAUGCCAAGUAGGUUGUAUUUUGCCUCCCAAGCAACAUGGUCACAUGUGGAACUCCACAUAACCAUGGCUUCAAGCAUCCAGCUUUGCUAGCUUAUAUACCACUUUGCUGCAAUGAAGAGAUAUGGAAGCUACAAAGGAGGCCUAGCAAGGAGCAUUUCAUAUGCAGGCUUGAGGAUACUUAAAUAGAGUUGACUUCAAAUUGUUCUUUUGGGGAAAAAAAAAGACAACUAAAUCAGGAGAAAACAGGAUGUAUCUGAAUUGUUCUAACAAAUUCUUAAUGAUAAUUGAAAAUAUUUUAAGUUGAAACAACUCCUUUUCCUCUCCUGCUCCUUCAAGCUCUCUAAGGCUGUGUUUAGAAAACACUGAAGUCAAACUGACCACUUGGUAAAUGGGGGGUUCUGAAAUUAGUGAGGCUGAACCUCAGCUGAAGUUGUCUAAGCCAUUGGUUGCUGGCUUUGAAUUCGUUCUCAUAAAGUUGCUCACAGCAGCGACACAUUUGGAAAUGCAGAGAUGACUUAAGAAAAGGGUUAUAAAAGACUUUACUAAUGAAUGUGUGUCACAACUGCUUUGGCUCUUGUUCCCAUAGCAUACUUCCAACAAAAUCAAAUGUAGAUUCCUAAGGGCAUAAGUUGGAAGUCAUCCUGCCUCAAAGAGCUUGGACCUCUCUCUUAAGUAGGACAGAACUCUGCUGAGACCUCACGGAAGUAUUGACUGCAAAUGACUGUGGGCAACAAUUUCAAAGAACCUUCAGAGAUUUACUUGUAUAGUUAUUGUCUCUUAAGAGAGAGAGAGAGAGUUAAUAGGUACAGUUGCUUUAUUCAUGAAUCUCAGAAUUAAUUUUAAUCCAGCAUUCUAAUAAGUGUUCAAGGCAUUUUACUUCAUCGUUUUCAGGUCUUGUCCCCUAGACAAAAAGGUCUAUUUUUAACUUGUACCACUUCAAUCAAGUUACAACCUGAAAUUAGUAAUACAACUCAACCUACUAACUGGUGCAUGGAAUAGUUAAACAGAGGUCACAGUAAAUGCCAGCAGCACUUUCUGUAAAACAAAUACACAACAAGCAAAGACAUGACCAGUCAGUAAAUAAAGGUGAGUUGAAAUCAACUUUGUUGGAAAGGAAAAGUGUUAUAAUGAAAUUACAGUGCUUUGGAAGACUUAAAGUGAUGUCCACCAUAAAAGAUAAAAUUAAUUUACUGGAAAUAAACUUGUGAAUAUGAGUACCAUUUUGUGAAAGGCCAAGUUCUGACAUUUAGUAAAGCUGUAAAAAUGUUUUUGAAAGCAGCCCUUCAUUGUGAUUAUCACUGUUCUUAUGCAUUAAAAUUGAAAGAACUAAGAAAGACCAAAAAGGACUGAAAGAGUAAAAUAUUUUGCAAUUUCAAAGUAUUUGAUACAUUGAAGCUUUAAGAUGUUUUAAUACUCCUUGCUCUGCAAACAUGCUUCAGUUUGUUAAUAAAGAAAUGUUCUGAUACAAAGCAUCCACGAGGAUUAACAUGCAAAUAAAAUGCAUAUGACAAAU
ensembl:lncRNA